rnacentral:rRNA from 1 species
UUAUACCGUGAAACUGCGAAUGGCUCAUUAAAUCAGUUAUCGUUUAUUUGAUAGUACCUUACUACUUGGAUAACCGUGGUAAUUCUAGAGCUAAUACAUGCUAAAAACCCCAACUUCGGGAGGGGUGUAUUUAUUAGAUAAAAAACCAAUGCCCUUCGGGGCUCCUUGGUGAUUCAUGAUAACUUCUCAGAUCGCAUGGCUUUACGCCGGCGACGGUUCAUUCAAAUUUCUGCCCUAUCAACUUUCGAUGGUAAGGUAUUGGCUUACCAUGGUUUCAACGGGUAACGGGGAAUUAGGGUUCGAUUCCGGAGAGGGAGCCUGAGAAACGGCUACCACAUCCAAGGAAGGCAGCAGGCGCGCAAAUUACCCAAUUCCGAUACGGAGAGGUAGUGACAAUAAAUACUGAUACAGGGCUCUUUUGGGUCUUGUAAUUGGAAUGAGUACAAUUUAAACCUCUUAACGAGGAACAAUUGGAGGGCAAGUCUGGUGCCAGCAGCCGCGGUAAUUCCAGCUCCAAUAGCGUAUAUUAAAGUUGUUGCAGUUAAAAAGCUCGUAGUUGAACCUUUGGCCUGGCUGGCAGGUCCGCCUCACCGCGUGCACUUGUCCGGCCGGGCCUUUUCUUCUGGAGAACCGCAUGCCCUUCACUGGGUGUGUUGGGGACCAGGACUUUUACUUUGAAAAAAUUAGAGUGUUCAAAGCAGGCCUUUGCUCGAAUACGUUAGCAUGGAAUAAUAGAAUAGGACGUGCGGUCCUAUUUUGUUGGUUUCUAGGACCGCCGUAAUGAUUAAUAGGGACAGUCGGGGGCAUCAGUAUUCAAUUGUCAGAGGUGAAAUUCUUGGAUUUAUUGAAGACUAACUACUGCGAAAGCAUUUGCCAAGGAUGUUUUCAUUAAUCAGUGAACGAAAGUUAGGGGAUCGAAGACGAUCAGAUACCGUCGUAGUCUUAACCAUAAACUAUGCCGACUAGGGAUCGGGCGGUGUUUCUAUUGUGACCCGCUCGGCACCUUACGAGAAAUCAAAG